rnacentral:tRNA from 4 species
GCGGGCGUGAUGGAAUGGUAGACAUACCAGACUUAAAAUCUGGAGGGCGUAUGCCCGUGCGGGUUCAAGUCCCGCCGCCCGCACCA